GCCGGGGUAGCUCAAUCGGUAGAGCGUGUGGCUCUUAUAACCGCUUAAUUCGAGUGGGUUAGAGAUCACCUCAAGGUCGCGGGUUCGAGCCCCGCCUUCGGCU